CAGCCAUGGAGACGGAUCGAUGACUUGGCACACACCCACCCACGACCCACACAGCCCCGGGCCCCACCCACGAUGCACACACACCCACGCCCAACCCACGCACACACACCCAUGUUGGAUCCCAUCUCUCUCGUCUUCCUCGAUCCCCUUUCUCCACCCCACGCCGCCGCCAGAUUCCGGCGAUCCCCGCGGUUCCCCACUACCUAGCUCUCCUCCCCGAGGUCACCUCUCCCCGCUCACCAUCUCCACUGACCGGUUUCUCUCCUCGCCCAGGAGAGCCACGCCCAGGCACUGGUGGUGGUGCGCCGCGAGGAGGCCCCAGCGGCGUCGAGCUGCUGUUGCUGUGGGCACAACGCCGUCGGCGUGGUCAGGAUGGUCGCAGCCCUUCAAGAUUCUCAAUGGCGGCAUCUCGGCGCUGAUGACGGAGUCGACGGCGAGCAUCGGCGGGUACAUGGCGUCGGGGUACCGGAGGGUGGCUGGCGUGCAGCUCUACAUCAACCACCUCAAGCCUGCCCGCCUCGGCGACCGCAUCAAGGCCAAGGCAAACCCCAUCCGGUACCUCGACCCCGACGCGUACUUGGACAAGGACCAGCUGCUGGACGCGGUGCAUUGGAUCCGGCAGGCGGUGGGGCUCGCCUGCGGCCUGCUCUGGGGCGCUGUCCCCCUCGUCGUCGCCUUCUGGAUCGCCCUAGUUACUUGGAAAUAUUGACAUUCUCAAACCAAAUAUGAGGUGCCCUUUAUUCAGUCCAUGGGAGUAUAUGUUUUGGAUUGGGAGGGGAAAAUGCUCUUCUUUCAGUCUCUGUUGAAGUCAAACCCAUCCAUGCAAAAUCUUUACUUAGUAGAAUUAAUCUAGAUGAAUAUAUAUGCCCUGCAGUUUUAUCGUGCAUGCCAUUCAACUAACUUGCUCUUGUCCAUGCAGACGGAGUAG